rnacentral:rRNA from 1 species
UAGGGAAUCUUCGGCAAUGGACGAAAGUCUGACCGAGCAACGCCGCGUGAGUGAAGAAGGUUUUCGGAUCGUAAAACUCUGUUGGUAGAGAAGAACGUUGGUGAGAGUGGAGAGCUCAUCAAGUGACGGUAACUACCCAGAAAGGGACGGCUAACUACGUGCCAGCAGCCGCGGUAAUACGUAGGUCCCGAGCGUUGUCCGGAUUUAUUGGGCGUAAAGCGAGCGCAGGUGGUUUAUUAAGUCUGGUGUAAAAGGCAGUGGCUCAACCAUUGUAUGCAUUGGAAACUGGUAGACUUGAGUGCAGGAGAGGAGAGUGGAAUUCCAUGUGUAGCGGUGAAAUGCGUAGAUAUAUGGAGGAACACCGGUGGCGAAAGCGGCUCUCUGGCCUGUAACUGACACUGAGGCUCGAAAGCGUGGGGAGCAAACAGGAUUAGAUACCCUGGUAGUCCACGCCGUAAACGAUGAGUGCUAGAUGUAGGGAGCUAUAAGUUCUCUGUAUCGCAGCUAACGCAAUAAGCACUCCGCCUGGG